GUCUUCGUGGAGUGAUCAUUGUGACUCGCUCCCACCUGUUGAUGAAUGCUGAACGCAGCCACGGGAGAGUCGGUGGUUCGAAUCCACCCGAAGACG